rnacentral:rRNA from 1 species
GAUAGAACGCUGGCGCGUGGCGUUAACACAUGCAAGUCGAACGAAGUGCUUAAACGGAGUUUCUUCGGGAAUAGGAAGUUUUUGCGACUGGGUGGCGGACGGGUGAGUAACGCGUGGGUAACCUGCCUCAUACAGGGGGAUAACAGUUAGAAAUGACUGCUAAUACCGCAUAAGCGCACAGUGCUGCAUGGCACAGUGUGAAAAACUCCGGUGGUAUGAGAUGGACCCGCGUCUGAUUAGCUAGUUGGUGGGGUAACGGCCUACCAAGGCGACGAUCAGUAGCCGGCCUGAGAGGGUGAACGGCCACAUUGGGACUGAGACACGGCCCAA